rnacentral:lncRNA from 1 species
AAGACUAGAGAGGUGGUAGGAUGUGGUAGGAUUUAUUUUAGAAAUUAGAGGCAUGAAUUUAGAAAAUUAGAGAAGAAUGAAGAAGAGUGGAAAUUAGAAAAUGUUGAAAAGAAUAGAGGUGUGGUAUUUAAUGUAGAGAGGUGGUUGUGGUUGUUGGCCAUCGUGCCGUCUCUUUGAUGAGAUUGUGGUUCUCGGCUAUCGUGCCGUUUAUUUUGUUGCAGGUUUUGGAAACCUCCCCGUGCAGGGGAGUUGCUGCCGAAAUUUUGACUUAAACAGUGCUCUGUUUCUUUUGUUGCAGGAGAGGCUUACAAGGACCGUCCUCGACUCGUCACUUUGCAGGAUAGCAAGGUGAGGCAUGCUACACCUCUCUUUCCGUAUAAUGUUCGUAUAUCACGUAACCUAGUUAGGCGUCUCCCGUUCGAAAGAGAUACGUUUGGAAAUAUGCAGAUCUUUGCAUAUCUAUAAUCGUAUCUGUUUCGAAUUGUCCACGUUUUUUGGACAGCCGAAGGAUGUGUAGGUGGGUUUCCGAGGACAACUCGGAAGUGAAAGUGGUGCGACCCGCAAGACCCUAAACCAUGAAGAGUGGUGCUCUAUCAUGCUGUAUGUGUUGACCAACCUAUCUGAGGUGGAGCCGUACAUGAUGUAAGUUCUCAACAAACUUGUUUCGACGUAGUCACCAUUCUCUUGCCUAAACGUAUAUUUCUCGUUGCUAUAGGCAAUUUCAUUAUCAAUUCUGGCGUAAAUCAAGGCAACCGUACCCGCACGAAGCUGAGACUCUUCUUAAAGAGGGUGC